CCCUUAGAUGUUCUGGGCGGCCCGCGCACUACAAUGGCGUGUGCAGCGAGUGCCGAAGUAGAGUUUUCCGAGGUAUUCUUGCAAUGCUCGUUUUGAUGGGGAUAGACCCUUGCAACUGUUGGUUUUGAACGAGGAAUUCCUUGUAAGCAUGGUUUAUCAUCCGACGCUGAAUGCGUCCCUGCCCUUUGUACACACCGCCCGUCGCUCCUACCGAUGAGUCGUCCGGUGAAGUUCGUAGACCUCGUGAUCGCGGAUCACUGGGGGAAGCAAAAUGAACCUGGCGGUUUAGAGGAAGGAGAAGUCGUAACA
rnacentral:rRNA from 1 species